CCACGGGCCUUCUUACCCGUGCAGGCCGAGGGCGCGGCGCCGCUUGUGGAGCAGGCAAAGCAGCAGGAACGCGGCCCCCGCCAGCGAGGAGUUUCGCACGGUCAGGUCUUUAAAUUAACAAGUUUGGAGGAAAGUUUGUCUUCGAUAAGGGGUCACAAUAUAUGGAAUCAAAAGAAGUAGGGUUUGAGUCCUGAUUCUAUCCAAACUGUUUCACCUUUCAUCUCAGGUUCAAGAAGAUGAUUAUUUAAAUCAUAAUGAUAACUAUGAGGGGGAAAGCUAUAAAAAGCACCUUGGAGCAGCUUUGUUCAUAGUUUCAUUUGUGCUACAAGAAUGAAUGGAGGGCUUCCCUGGUGGCGCAGUGGUUGAGAGUCCGCCUGCCGAUGCAGGGGACAUGGGUUCGUGCCCCGGUCCGGGAAGAUCCCACGUGU